rnacentral:rRNA from 1 species
UACGGGGGGGGCAAGCGUUGUUCGGAAUUACUGGGCGUAAAGGGCUCGUAGGCGGCCAACUAAGUCGGACGUGAAAUCCCCAGGCUCAACCUGGGAACUGCGUCCGAUACUGGAUGGCUUGAAUCCGGGAGAGGGAUGCAGAAUUCCAGGUGUAGCGGUGAAAUGCGUAGAUAUUGGGAGGAACACCAGUGGCGAAGGCGGCUCACUGGACCGGUACUGACGCUGAUGCGCGAAAGCGUGGGGAGCAAACAGG